AUGCCGCGGUGAAUACGUUCCCGGGCCUUGUACACACCGCCCGUCAAGUCAUGAAAUGGGCAGCACCCGAAGACGGUGGCCUAACCCUUGUGGGGGGAGCCGUCUAAGGUGAGGCUCGUGAUUGGGACUAAGUCGUAACAAGGUAGC
rnacentral:rRNA from 1 species